GCCAGCAUGGCAUAGUGGUUUGAGUGUUGGACUACAACUCAGGAGACUAGAGUUCAAAUCCCAACUCAGCCA